rnacentral:tRNA from 1 species
GCCUUCUUAGCUCAGUGGUAGAGCGUUGGUCUCGUACAGAAUUCAGUUAACCAAAGGUCGAGAGUUCAAUCCUCUCAGGAGGCA